GAGUUUGAUCAUGGCUCAGAUUGAACGCUGGCGGCAUGCCCUACACAUGCAAGUCGAACGGCAGCACGGGUGCUUGCACCUGGUGGCGAGUGGCGAACGGGUGAGUAAUACAUCGGAACAUGUCCUGUAGUGGGGGAUAGCCCGGCGAAAGCCGGAUUAAUACCGCAUACGAUCUACGGAUGAAAGCGGGGGACCUUCGGGCCUCGCGCUAUAGGGUUGGCCGAUGGCUGAUUAGCUAGUUGGUGGGGUAAAGGCCUACCAAGGCGACGAUCAGUAGCUGGUCUGAGAGGACGACCAGCCACACUGGGACUGAGACACGGCCCAGACUCCUACGGGAGGCAGCAGUGGGGAAUUUUGGACAAUGGGCGAAAGCCUGAUCCAGCAAUGCCGCGUGUGUGAAGAAGGCCUUCGGGUUGUAAAGCACUUUUGUCCGGAAAGAAAUCCUUGGCUCUAAUACAGUCGGGGGAUGACGGUACCGGAAGAAUAAGCACCGGCUAACUACGUGCCAGCAGCCGCGGUAAUACGUAGGGUGCGAGCGUUAAUCGGAAUUACUGGGCGUAAAGCGUGCGCAGGCGGUUUGCUAAGACCGAUGUGAAAUCCCCGGGCUCAACCUGGGAACUGCAUUGGUGACUGGCAGGCUAGAGUAUGGCAGAGGGGGGUAGAAUUCCACGUGUAGCAGUGAAAUGCGUAGAGAUGUGGAGGAAUACCGAUGGCGAAGGCAGCCCCCUGGGCCAAUACUGACGCUCAUGCACGAAAGCGUGGGGAGCAAACAGGAUUAGAUACCCUGGUAGUCCACGCCCUAAACGAUGUCAACUAGUUGUUGGGGAUUCAUUUCCUUAGUAACGUAGCUAACGCGUGAAGUUGACCGCCUGGGGAGUACGGUCGCAAGAUUAAAACUCAAAGGAAUUGACGGGGACCCGCACAAGCGGUGGAUGAUGUGGAUUAAUUCGAUGCAACGCGAAAAACCUUACCUACCCUUGACAUGGUCGGAAUCCCGCUGAGAGGUGGGAGUGCUCGAAAGAGAACCGGCGCACAGGUGCUGCAUGGCUGUCGUCAGCUCGUGUCGUGAGAUGUUGGGUUAAGUCCCGCAACGAGCGCAACCCUUGUCCUUAGUUGCUACGCAAGAGCACUCUAAGGAGACUGCCGGUGACAAACCGGAGGAAGGUGGGGAUGACGUCAAGUCCUCAUGGCCCUUAUGGGUAGGGCUUCACACGUCAUACAAUGGUCGGAACAGAGGGUUGCCAACCCGCGAGGGGGAGCUAAUCCCAGAAAACCGAUCGUAGUCCGGAUUGCACUCUGCAACUCGAGUGCAUGAAGCUGGAAUCGCUAGUAAUCGCGGAUCAGCAUGCCGCGGUGAAUACGU
rnacentral:rRNA from 1 species